rnacentral:rRNA from 1 species
CACGUAGUUAGCCGGCGCUUUCUCUGCAGGUACCGUCAAUCUCUCUUCUUCCCUGCUAACAGAGGUUUACAACCCGAAGGCCGUCAUCCCUCACGCGGCGUCGCUGCAUCAGGCUUGCGCCCAUUGUGCAGUAUUCCCCACUGCUGCCUCCCGUAGGAGUCUGGGCCGUGUCUCAGUCCCAGUGUGGCCGGUCACCCUCUCAGGCCGGCUACCCGUCGUCGCCUUGGUGAGCCGUUACCUCACCAACAAGCUGAUAGGCCGUGAGCCCAUCUAUAACCACUACAUAACGCUUUCCACCAACACCCCAUGCGGAGAUUGGUCGUAUCCGGUAUUAGACCCAGUUUCCCAGGCUUAUCCCAGAGUUAAAGGUAGGUUACUCACGUAUUACUCACCCGUUCGCCACUAAUCCACCUAGCAAGCUAGGCUUCAUCGUUCGACUUGCAUGUGUUAAGCACGCCGCCAGCGUUCGUCCUGAGCCAGGAUCAAACUCU